rnacentral:rRNA from 1 species
UACGGAGGGUGCAAGCGUUAAUCGGAAUUACUGGGCGUAAAGCGCACGUAGGCGGCUUUGUAAGUUAGAGGUGAAAGCCCGGGGCUCAACCCCGGAAUUGCCUUUAAGACUGCAUCGCUUGAAUCCGGGAGAGGUGAGUGGAAUUCCGAGUGUAGAGGUGAAAUUCGUAGAUAUUCGGAAGAACACCAGUGGCGAAGGCGGCUCACUGGACACAUAUUGACGCUGAGGUGCGAAAGCGUGGGGAGCAAACAGG